rnacentral:tRNA from 1 species
GAGAGGUGUCUAGUACACAAAGAGCUGCUAACUCCACGCCCUAGGGUUAAACUCCCUAGACCUCU